rnacentral:rRNA from 1 species
CGGACCGGCGCACGGGUGAGUAACGCGUAUGCAACCUACCUAUCAGGAGGGGAAUAACCCGGCGAAAGUCGGACUAAUACCGCAUAAAACAGGGGUUCCACAUGGAAAUAUUUGUUAAAGAAUUAUCGCUGAUAGAUGGGCAUGCGUUCCAUUAGAUAGUUGGUGAGGUAACGGCUCACCAAGUCCACGAUGGAUAGGGGUUCUGAGAGGAAGGUCCCCCACACUGGUACUGAGACACGGACCAGACUCCUACGGGAGGCAGCAG